rfam:Candidatus Scalindua brodae SCABRO_contig000275, whole genome shotgun sequence.
GCGGAAGUGAUGGAACGGCAGACAUGCUAGCUUGAGGGGCUAGUCCUCGCAAGGGGGUGGGGGUUCAAAUCCCCCCUUCCGCA